rnacentral:tRNA from 1 species
UGGCGCAGUUGGUAGCGCACCACACUGGCAGUGUGGGGGUCACGGGUUCGAAUCCC